UUACUAGGUUUUAAAUUCUCAAGGGCUUCAUAUGUCUUGAGUCUAUUGAGACCACAAAUUAUUGAAGAUCUUGAGUUAAAGAAAUAUGGUUUGAAGAUCUAUUUGCGCAAUCCUAGUUCAUACACUCCAUUAAUUGAACCUGGUGGUGUAAAUGGUAAAGCAAAAUCUUUGACUAUCAGCCGUGAUCAUGUGGAAACAGCUAGACAGAUAGCUCAAUUCUCUGUGAAGGAUGCAAAGGCCUUCUCAGUUUAUGAAGAACAGUUGGGACGCAUUGUGUCUGCCAUUGAUACUUUGUUAGAUCAUCCCCCUCUGUCACUGCCAUCCUUGAUUAGCUCGUCUUUCAAAGACAAAUGGAACAGCUUAAACUCUGUCAAAGUUUUACUGAAUUCAAGUAAUCAUCACUUUAAUCAGACAUUACAAAACGUUUAUGUAACAGAAUUAACACUUUAAGUAUUGAAGCUUAUUGACUCUAUUAACUUCGUCUUUUGUUACUACUAAAGAUAAU
rnacentral:sRNA from 1 species